UGCCCAGAUCUAAGGAAUAGCCACUGGAAACGGUGAGUAAUACCUUAUACGCCCUUCGGGGAAAGAUUUAUCGGAUUUGGAUCGGCCCGCGUUAGAUUAGGUAGUUGGUGGGGUAACGGCCUACCAAGCCUACGAUCUAUAGCUGGUUUUAGAGGAUGAUCAGCAACACUGGGACUGAGACACGGCCCAGACUCCUACGGGAGGCAGCAGUGGGGAAUCUUGGACAAUGGGCGCAAGUGAUCCAGCCAUGCCGCGUGAGUGAUGAAGGCCUUAGGGUCGUAAAGCUCUUUCGCCAGGGAUGAUAAUGACAGUACCUGGUAAAGAAACCCCGGCUAACUCCGUGCCAGCAGCCGCGGUAAUACGGAGGGGGUUAGCGUUGUUCGGAAUUACUGGGCGUAAAGCGUACGUAGGCGGAUCAGAAAGUUGGGGGUGAAAUCCCGGGGCUCAACCCCGAACUGCCUCCAAAACUCCUGGUCUAGAGUUCGAGAGAGGUGAGUGGAAUUCCGAGUGUAGAGGUGAAAUUCGUAGAUAUUCGGAGGAACACCAGUGGCGAAGGGGCUCACUGGCUCGAUACUGACGCUGAGGUACGAAAGUGUGGGGAGCAAACAGGAUUAGAUACCCUGGUAGUCCACACCGUAAACGAUGAAUGCCAGUCGUCGGGUAGCAUGCUAUUCGGUGACACACCUAACGGAUUAAGCAUUCCGCCUGGGGAGUACGGUCGCAAGAUUAAAACUCAAAGGAAUUGACGGGGG
rnacentral:rRNA from 1 species